rnacentral:lncRNA from 1 species
CUCUGUUCCCUUACACCCUGCCUCCCCUGCCCCUCCCCACCUUCUUCUUCCCCUUCAUCUUCCUCCUCUCCGUCCUCGGCAGUUUCUUCUUCUUCCUCCUCGGCUCCGUUCUCCUCUUCCUGCAGGAAGCGGGAGAGGGAGCGGGUCAGGUGGGGUCAGGGGUCUGCGGUCAGGGGGCACGGGGAGGGCCUGAGGGGCGGGGCGGGGGGGGGGGGNGGAGGGCCUGAGGGGCGGGGCGGGGCUGGUGGGCGGGGCCAGAGCCCAGGGCAGGACCCGCCCCCAGGUAAGUGGAAGGGGGAGGAGGGCUCCAGCGCCCGCACCCACCCGCACCCACCCGCACCGGUCCCCUCCACACCUCCACCACUUCUUUCUUUCGCUCUUUCCGGCUUGCCUUCUCCUCCACCUUCUCUUUUUUCUCCUUCAGGUCCUGCAAGAGAGAAAGAGGUCACCUUCCUGGCACCACAAACAAGCUGCAGCUGGCCCGUCACCCCAUCUCCCUCUCUCGCCCCGUUCUCCCUCAGCAGUGAGCCUAGAGGAAUGAAGGAGUUGGCCAGAGGCAGAACGGAGGCCCCAGGGCCCAUAAGGCCACAAAGGGGCUGGGACCAGACACCUUCCCCAAGACUCAAGGGAGGAGCAAAAGUGAUGAAGACAGAGGAAUGGACAGCCGAGAGAACUGCUUCUGAGACCUUGUAGAGGCUUGCCUGUUCCUAGAGUUCCUUUGCUCCUCAGUCCAACUGAGAAUUUCUCCCAGUAGUUGAAUGGGGAAAGCUGGUGCUUCUUACACAUUUUCUGGAGGUGGGGAAAAGGAAGCCAGGUGAGAACAAAGGAGGCAUGAGCCCCCAAGGGAAACCGCGGCUUCUGGUCUGACCUCCUAGAAAUUUCCUUCACUCCCGUGUGGAAGGUGUUCAAUUCUAAUUACUGCCAUCUCAUCUUAAGUGAAUUCUUAUUUAUCUCCAGCUUCCGGAGGAGCUUUUGCAGCUUGCCUAUUUAUCUGAUAAGUGCUAAGGAAGGCCUAGUGAUCCCUGAAGCUAUGGGACAGCAGAAGCCUGAAAGUUGAACCUCCCUGCUCCUCACUGUACUUUUGUAGCCCUGUUCCACUUCCAGUAUAACUUAUUUUCUAUUCCUCAUUUUUCCUUUUUUUUUUUUUUUUUUUUUUAAUCUUUUCAAAACUCAAGUCAGUGGACUUGAGAGUUGAGGGACCCCUAGAGAGAGGUCUAAACCCACCCAAGUUUGAUCCUGUUUGAGUUGGUUGCCUACAGGAAUGUUCCUUAAGAAAGCCUCUUCAUAACACAUCCAUCAGGGGUCACAUUGUACCCAUCGUCACCACAUUCCAUGCACUUUUAAGUAGAGGUGAGCUUUUUUUCAUGCUAAGCUUUCUUUUUGCCCCUUUACCAAGCUUGAACUCUUGGACUUCAACAAACAGGGAGCUCUUCCUUGUGUCAGACACAGUGCUAUGUUACAGAGACAUAGCUGAAAAAGAGAUGAUCCCUGCCCUUAAGGAAUAGAUGGAGACAGCUCAAAGUACAGCCUGAAAAGGGACAUGUAUCUAGCACUCUUUCCACCAGGCAGACAGCACACUGUCUCCACCAUACACUUCUAGAAAGCCUCCAAGAUCUCUCCUGAUUUCGCAAAUCCUUAUCCAUUGUUCCCAACUCCCAACAGCGUCCCUUGGUUCCUCCACCCUUACUGAUUGUCUCCUCUUAUGCCUAAUACCUAGCAAGAUGCCAGGAACCAAAGAAGAAGAGCUCAAUAAAUCAUUGACUUCCUACCUCUGACA